rnacentral:rRNA from 1 species
UACGGGGGGGGCAAGCGUUGUUCGGAAUUACUGGGCGUAAAGGGCGCGUAGGCGGCCCGCUAAGUCGAACGUGAAAUCCCCGAGCUCAACUCGGGAACUGCGUCCGAUACUGGCGGGCUUGAAUCCGGGAGAGGGAUGCGGAAUUCCAGGUGUAGCGGUGAAAUGCGUAGAUAUCUGGAGGAACACCGGUGGCGAAGGCGGCAUCCUGGACCGGUAUUGACGCUGAUGCGCGAAAGCCAGGGGAGCAAACGGG